GACGAACGCUGGCGGCGUGCUUAACACAUGCAAGUCGAACGAAGAGCGAUGGAAGCUUGCUUCUAUCAAUCUUAGUGGCGAACGGGUGAGUAACGCGUAAUCAACCUGCCCUUCAGAGGGGGACAACAGUUGGAAACGACUGCUAAUACCGCAUACGAUCUAACCUCGGCAUCGAGGAUAGAUGAAAGGUGGCCUCUACAUGUAAGCUAUCACUGAAGGAGGGGAUUGCGUCUGAUUAGCUAGUUGGAGGGGUAACGGCCCACCAAGGCGAUGAUCAGUAGCCGGUCUGAGAGGAUGAACGGCCACAUUGGGACUGAGACACGGCCCAGACUCCUACGGGAGGCAGCAGUGGGGAAUCUUCCGCAAUGGACGAAAGUCUGACGGAGCAACGCCGCGUGAGUGAUGACGGCCUUCGGGUUGUAAAGCUCUGUUAAUCGGGACGAAAGGCCUUCCUGCGAAUAGUGAGAAGGAUUGACGGUACCGGAAUAGAAAGCCACGGCUAACUACGU
rnacentral:rRNA from 1 species